rnacentral:rRNA from 1 species
GACCAGACUCCUACGGGAGGCAGCAGUGGGGGAUAUUGCACAAUGGGGGGAACCCUGAUGCAGCGACGCCGCGUGGGUGAAGAAGCGCCUCGGCGCGUAAAGCCCUGUCAGCAGGGAAGAAAAUGACGGUACCUGAAGAAGAAGCCCCGGCUAACUACGUGCCAGCAGCCGCGGUAAUACGUAGGGGGCCAGCGUUAUCCGGUGUUACUGGGGGAAAAGGGGGGGCAGAGGGCGAUGCAAGCCGGGAGUGAAAGCCCGGGGCCCAACCCCGGGACUGCUCUUGGAACUGCGGGGCUGGAGUGCAGGAGGGGCAGGCGGAAUUCCUGGGGUGGCGGUGAA